GAGCUGCUAGAGUGUAUAAUAAGGCCUGAAGGAGUUUUUUUCUAACUCGUGGUUGGCCUGUCUUCUUAUUUACCGUUUCCAUGUCGACGCCCUUGGUUACGUAGUCUGUGUACGUAUACACCGUACGUAAGCCGCCAUUCUCCGAGAUUGCAGCACGCAAGUCCAGUGUGUUACAGACACGCACACCGUCCGCCUCUAUCAAUUACUCCCGGCUAGAAUCAUCACACGUGCGGAUACUUACGGGAAAAGGAGACAGACAGGCACAUAAGUUCGGAGACACUUGUGCCCUUUCCUACUGUCACCAUGGAUCUCAGAUUUCUGAUCCUGAUGUGCACAAGCGUUUUUCUUGUUCAUGGCCAAACCAGUGAGUCACCAACUGAGACAAUGGAGCCGGUGACAGAAAUUUAUGAGACGACCAUCUCAGCUACAAUGGACGCAGUGACAACAAUAGCAUCAACUACGAUAGCCGAGACUGUUGCAAUGGCCACCAAUGCGGCAAAUGCCGAAUCAUCGACUGUGAUAGUGGACCAGGCAACGACUGCAUCGACUACGAUAGAAGCGACUAACUCAGCAGCAGACUUGACAACCGGUGCAGCAAAUGCUGAAUCUACAACUGUCUCAGCAGUGACAACAGCCGAUUC